UCCUUAUUUCCACAUUAUUGUCCAUUCCUUAUUGCUUAUUUCCACCUUAUUGUUAUUCCUUAUAAUGUCAUUUUCUUAUAUAUCAACAUAAUAUCCUUAUUAACAUUAUUGCUUCCAAAAUAUAUCGGAUGCUGGCCCUGGGAAACAGAAGCUCAGCGGAUACAUAAUUCCAUUAUAAGAAGCCUAAUAUAUUUGUAGAUGUUGUGUCGCUAUUUUCGCCAUAUGGUCGAAUUCAGUGGCUAUUCCGAGUGUUAUUGGACACUGAGUUCGACCACCGCCACAAAUGCGGUAGCGACAUAACACAACCGCCGUGACCGUACUUUUAAAUGACCAUAUUCAUUAAAUAAGCCUGUAAAUGAAAUAAGAAAAAACAAUUUCCCAAAUCAGAUAAAUGAACGCCGUCAGAUGUGAACAUUCCGGGAUUGUUAUAUGAUAUUUCCGGGUAUUUUAUGUAACACCCUCCCAAUUGUAUACAUAGCCAAGCGGCAAAGUUAUUAAUUCUUGUGGCUGCUAUAUUCAUUGCUUGUUGGUUUUUACCAUAUCUCCACUUAAAACGCGGGAGAAUCUGGGACCACACAAUUUUUGUUUGUGGAAGCAUUUCGUGUAAUUUCAUAAUAUCAGACCUCAAGGUUUCUCUAAAAUCAAAGAGUGAUAUAGCCCCUAUACUGUUACCACCACAAUGUAUAACUAAAAUUUUAGGAGGGGAUUCAAUUUGUAGAAGAAAUUUUAUUCUUGGUACAAGCUCCCCCCAUUUCAUGCCACCUUUACCUUGCCACCAUACCCUGUAACUUUUUCUAUGUAGUCCUAAACUACAGCCAUCAAAUGAUCUUUUCGCUUCUAUAAACGCAUGUUUUACAAUCGAAGACCCAACAACCCAAAUUGAAUUGAGUUCUUGUUGACUUGAAGAUUCAUCUAAUAAAAAAGUAUGAAUUGUAAAUUUGUUAAUUGGAUAUUUAACAAGCUGGUGUACAUAAAUUUUGCAUUAAUUGAAUUUGAAAGUUUUUGAAAGAAAAUCAAUAUCAGAUGUUGUCGUACUUUGCAACUAGUUAACGAAUGUACCCCUUAAAUGCAUUUGACUUCCAGCGACCUAGUCUCUUUAUCUCUUCUUCAGAGGUUCCCUUUUCAAAGUGGCUUGAAGCAGCACCGAUACGGAAAGAAUGUGUUCGAAAUGAAACCGAAUCGGUUAUCCCUACAUGUAUUAAAACCUUACUUAGAACACAUGAAAACUGGUACCUUGUCACUGGACAUCCUCCGAAGUGACAAAAUAAGGGGCCUUUAACCUUUGGUCUUUGCAUUAAAUAAUUUUUCAACCAAUAAAUUGGACAAUCUUUUAGUUUAGUUUCCGUUAUUUCUAUAACUGUACCAUGACC
rnacentral:lncRNA from 1 species